UUCCACGGUGGGACUCAGCUGCUCGGCCCUUUGACACAAGGCUUUGGCCACGCCGAUUCUCUCCUGCAGCAUGUCCUUAAGCGACAUGGUGGACGCAUCCUACCUGAGAAGUACAGGAAGACCAUACGGUGACAUCAACCCUCUAGAUCUUCGAGUAUAAGCACCAAACUGGCCUUAUUCCAUCACGUGUGCAAGUGACACAGCCGCCAUUCAAUCAAUCGUCAAUCAAGAAGGAAUGACAAUGGGUGGAAGUCUUUCUGUCUCCGAGCCCUGAUCCGGACCUCCCCUCCAUCUGCUGCUACCAAGAAACAGGAAGCGACCUUAUCGGAAGAGUGGUCCCCUUCAACUCGGACAGCUUCACAAGACCUGCAUCACCAGAAAAAGACAAUAGCUGAAAGUAACGCUUCAAGACGGCAGAAAGGAGAACAAACAGAUAAAUCAGCGACCCGGUGUUCCUCCUGGAAAUUUGCCCAUCAAUCUGCUGAGGAGGCUGACGUCUUCCUCGGUCCACUCUGAAGCCUAACAACAACAAAAACGCCUCUGAUCCUGCAACCACUCAUCCAACUGGUCUUCUACUUCCUCAAUGGAUCCCGUCUGCUGAUAACUUUGGGAGUUCAGCUCAUCCGCUGAUGGGACAUAAACAGGAAAAUCCAUCUUUGGUUUCUUCCACUUUGGCUUCUUCUCUCCUGGAAGGAUAAACACACAGUGAAAGGUCAUGUGAGUUUAAACAUGGAAGGAAUCAUAAAAAAACAUUUACUUGUCAUGACUUCCAGUUGAGCUUCUUCCUCUUCUUCUUCUUCCCUCUGCUGCUUCUUCAUCUGCUGGUAGUCUUUGUAGUAUUGUUGGACCUCCUGAACAUACAAACCAAAACCUUUAAAAAAAAAAAGUCACCUCAACGCCAUGAAUAGGUCCACAUAGAUCGGCAGUGUACCUGCAGGGUUUGUGGUGCGUGUUUGAUUGACAGGUAAAUCCACAUGCUGACUUUCAGAGGAAGAAUAUCCUGCCAGUGGGGACGUUCCUGAGCCCUGCAAAGACCAAGUUCAAUAAGACAAGAGGUCUAUAAACUGUAGUAGUGAUGUCAUAUGAAUACCUGUCAGGACGGUCCGGUGUGGUCCACUUCAGUUCCUCUGCUGGUUUGGAGUUGAUCUUCUUUUUCUUUUCCUUCUUCUUUUUACUCAACAGUUCAUCCUGCAAACAUGAUGUCACAUAACUAAACUUCUUGAUUGUGCACUUGGUUCUGACUGGCCAACUUACCAGCUGCUUUUCCAGGUAAAUUGACCAAAUGACGGCAUAGUGCCCCACAGUGAGGAUGAGGAACAGGAGGAAAGCCAACUCGCUGUUACCCAUCUUCCUCACACGUCUGUAGUAGAAGACGGGCUGCCGCCAAUCAGGAAGUCCAUUCAAAAGGAUGUCGUCAUACCUGCACGGUAAAAGGAGAGGACUUCAUAAAUGGCCACCAGCUUCAAAGUGAACACAAGUGUCAUUUUCAUAUGGUUUCGGAUUUUGUGAGGUCAUGUCUUCACCUGACGAAACUGGCUUUCUGCAUUUGGGUCUUUGUUCUUGUCAGGAUGCAAAAUGAGACUCAAGCGACGAUACGCUUUCUUGAUUUCUGCUGCUGACGCGUCCUAAACACAAAGUGUGUACAUACAUUAUGUCCAUAGUCUAUAUAGUAGGAUUACUGGGUGUGUUUUUAAAAUGGUAAAUUAAAAUAAUUGUGAAAAAGGAGCGCAAAUGCGUGAUCUAGCUGUUAAUUUUCCAUCAGAACUAGGCACCACUGAUUUGUUACCAUGGAGACUAGUAGUACGAACCUGCUCCACCAUCAGA